GACGAACGCUGGCGGCGUGCUUAACACAUGCAAGUCGAACGAAGAGCGAUGGAAGCUUGCUUCUAUCAAUCUUAGUGGCGAACGGGUGAGUAACGCGUAAUCAACCUGCCCUUCAGAGGGGGACAACAGUUGGAAACGACUGCUAAUACCGCAUACGAUCUAACCUCGGCAUCGAGGAUGGAUGAAAGGUGGCCUCUAUUUAUAAGCUAUCACUGAAGGAGGGGAUUGCGUCUGAUUAGCUAGUUGGAGGGGUAAGGGCCCACCAAGGCGAUGAUCAGUAGCCGGUCUGAGAGGAUGAACGGCCACAUUGGGACUGAGACACGGCCCAGACUCCUACGGGAGGCAGCAGUGGGGAAACUUCCGCAAUGGACGAAAGUCUGACGGAGCAACGCCGCGUGAGUGAUGACGGCCUUCGGGUUGUAAAGCUCUGUUAAUCGGGACGAAAGGCCUUCUUGCGAAUAGUUAGAAGGAUUGACGGUACCGGAAUAGAAAGCCACGGCUAACUACGUG
rnacentral:rRNA from 1 species